UAGGGAAUCUUCCGCAAUGGGCGAAAGCCUGACGGAGCAACGCCGCGUGAGUGAUGAAGGUCUUCGGAUCGUAAAACUCUGUUAUUAGGGAAGAACAAAUGUGUAAGUAACUAUGCACGUCUUGACGGUACCUAAUCAGAAAGCCACGGCUAACUACGUGCCAGCAGCCGCGGUAAUACGUAGGUGGCAAGCGUUAUCCGGAAUUAUUGGGCGUAAAGCGCGCGUAGGCGGUUUUUUAAGUCUGAUGUGAAAGCCCGCGGCUCAACCGUGGAGGGUCAUUGGAAACUGGAAAACUUGAGUGCAGAAGAGGAAAGUGGAAUUCCAUGUGUAGCGGUGAAAUGCGCAGAGAUAUGGAGGAACACCAGUGGCGAAGGCGACUUUCUGGUCUGUAACUGACGCUGAUGUGCGAAAGCGUGGGGAUCAAACAGGAUUAGAUACCCUGGUAGUCCACGCCGUAAACGAUGAGUGCUAAGUGUUAGGGGGUUUCCGCCCCUUAGUGCUGCAGCUAACGCAUUAAGCACUCCGCCUGGGGAGUACGACCGCAAGGUUG
rnacentral:rRNA from 1 species